AUUGAACGCUGGCGGCAGGCCUAACACAUGCAAGUCGAGCGCGCGGCGGGCGGGGGAGGAAUGUAUGGGGGCAGCCCGAUAGAGGGGGAUAACUACUGGAAACGGUAGCUAAUACAGCGCACUAUCGGAUAACCCAUAUGGGAGUAGCUAGAAGGGGGGGUAAUGGCUCACCUAGGCGACGCUCCCUAGCUGGUCUGAGAGGAUGAUCAGCCACACUGGGACUGAGACACGGCCCAGACUCCUACGGAGGCAGCAGUGGGGAAUAUUGCACAAUGGGCGCAAGCCUGAUGCAGCCAUGCCGCGUGUAUGAAGAAGGCCCUAGGGUUGUAAAGUACUUUCAGUCGGGAGGCGUUACCGACAGAAGAAGCACCGGCUAACUCCGUGCCAGCAGCCGCGGUAAUAC
rnacentral:rRNA from 1 species